rnacentral:rRNA from 1 species
CUACGGGUGGCAGCAGUGGGGAAUAUUGCACAAUGGGCGCAAGCCUGAUGCAGCCAUGCCGCGUGUAUGAAGAAGGCCUUCGGGUUGUAAAGUACUUUCAGCGGGGAGGAAGGGAGUAAAGUUAAUACCUUUGCUCAUUGACGUUACCCGCAGAAGAAGCACCGGCUAACUCCGUGCCAGCAGCCGCGGUAAUACGGAGGGUGCAAGCGUUAAUCGGAAUUACUGGGCGUAAAGCGCACGCAGGCGGUUUGUUAAGUCGGAUGUGAAAUCCCCGGGCUCAACCUGGGAACUGCAUCUGAUACUGGCAGGCUUGAGUGUCGUAGAGGGGGGUAGAAUUCCAGGUGUAGCGGUGAAAUGCGUAGAGAUCUGGAGGAAUACCGGUGGCGAAGGCGGCCCCCUGGACGAAGACUGACGCUCAGGUGCGAAAGCGUGGGGAGCAAACAGGAUUAGAUACCCGUGUAGUC